AUUGAACGCUGGCGGCAUGCCUUACACAUGCAAGUCGAGCGGCAGCGCGGGGGCAACCCUGGCGGCGAGCGGCGAACGGGUGAGUAAUACAUCGGAACGUGUCCAGUAGCGGGGGAUAACCUGUCGAAAGAUAGGCUAAUACCGCAUACGACCUACGGGUGAAAGCGGGGGACCGCAAGGCCUCGCACUAUUGGAGCGGCCGAUGUCGGAUUAGCUAGUUGGCGGGGUAAAAGCCCACCAAGGCGACGAUCCGUAGCUGGUCUGAGAGGACGAUCAGCCACACUGGAACUGAGACACGGUCCAGACUCCUACGGGAGGCAGCAGUGGGGAAUUUUGGACAAUGGGGGCAACCCUGAUCCAGCCAUGCCGCGUGAGUGAGGAAGGCCUUCGGGUUGUAAAGCUCUUUCGGCGGGGACGAAACGGUUCGUGACAACACCACGGACUAAUGACAGUACUCGCAGAAGAAGCACCGGCUAACUACGUGCCAGCCGCCGCAGUAACAC
rnacentral:rRNA from 1 species